UACGUAGGGUGCAAGCGUUAAUCGGAAUUACUGGGCGUAAAGCGUGCGCAGGCGGUUUUGUAAGUCUGUCGUGAAAUCCCCCGGGCUCAACCUGGGAAUUGCGAUGGAGACUGCAAGGCUAGAAUCUGGCAGAGGGGGGGGGUAGAAUUCCACGUGUAGCAGUGAAAUGCGUAGAGAUGUGGAGGAACACCGAUGGCGAAGGCAGCCCCCUGGGUCAAGAUUGACGCUCAUGCACGAAAGCGUGGGGAGCAAACAGG
rnacentral:rRNA from 1 species